UACAAAUGCUUAUUGUGUGUCUAUGUCAUAUUUAAAAAAAAUUUUUCUCGAUAAUGCCUUAAUUUUGCGCGAUUGUGAAAUGUGGAAGUAGAAGCGGCCUCUGCCGCUUCUUAUCUCUAUAAGGUUUCAUUCCACCGAUUGCCUUCGACAAUAGAAAAAAUAUUAAUCCUCUUGCUCAAAAGGGACGUACAUUGUGGAUUAAGGCAAUUAGAAGAGCAGAUUUAACUACUGAGAAGUUGGAAUGGGCAACUGUAUGUUCAAAAAAUGUUGUAGAAGCAAAGAAAAUUACAAAAACUUACGAUGGAAACAAUAAGGACCCUGAAUAAUAUUGUAAGAAUA